rnacentral:misc_RNA from 1 species
AGCGCACGCUGCCCCACCCCCUGCCACUUCGCCGCUGCGCGAGGCGCAUGCGCGUGAUGAAUACUAUUCACAUAGUUUCCUGUCAGUCCGAGCACUGCAUGAGGUCAUAGCAUUUCUCAACUCAGCUCACACUGACGCGGUGCGGGUGCUGCUGUGUGCGUGUGCGUGUGCGUGUGCCGCUGAAUGAUGCACUCAUCUGUGUUGGUCCAAACAGUUUGACUGGCGCAUGAGAAGAUACACAUGCAAAUCACCUUUCGGCUGACGUGCGUGGCACGGGCGCGUGUGCGGGCUGCUGUCGGCUGUCCAGCCGCGUGUGCGUGGUGGCCCUGAUGGAGAAACAAUUCUUGUGCGCGAGCGAGGCUAUGAGCGCACAUUUUGAGCCAAGAAAACAAAACUCAACAGGUCUGAGACGCUGCCACUGCGUGGCGGCGCCGCCGCCGGGCCGCACGCUGCGACGUGCGUGAACGGAGUGCAUUGAGUCCUACCGCUCCCCACCAGUAAGCGGGUGGGAGCAUCAACUCUCCUAGAUGCGGCGCGACGGGGUGCCGCGCCGCUUGCCUUCUCACCGCUACCCCCUGCCACUUCGCCGCUGCGCGAGGCGCAUGCGCGUGAUGAAUACUAUUCACAUAG